rnacentral:rRNA from 1 species
UACGGAGGAUGCGAGCGUUAUCCGGAUUUAUUGGGUUUAAAGGGUGCGUAGGCGGGACGCCAAGUCAGCGGUAAAAAUGCGGUGCUCAACGCCGUCGAGCCGUUGAAACUGGCGUUCUUGAGUGGGCGAGAAGUAUGCGGAAUGCGUGGUGUAGCGGUGAAAUGCAUAGAUAUCACGCAGAACUCCAAUUGCGAAGGCAGCAUACCGGCGCCCUACUGACGCUGAGGCACGAAAGCGUGGGUAUCGAACAGG